UAAGGAAUAUUGGUCAAUGGACGCAAGUCUGAACCAGCCAUGCCGCGUGAAGGAUGAAGGUCCUCUGGAUUGUAAACUUCUUUUAUCUGGGACGAAAACGGGAUUUUUAUCUCAAUUGACGGUACCAGAGGAAUAAGCGCCGGCUAACUCCGUGCCAGCAGCCGCGGUAAUACGGAGGGUGCGAGCGUUAUCCGGAUUUCCUGGGUUUAAAGGGUGCGUAGGUGGGCUUAUAAGUCAGUGGUGAAAUCUCCGAGCUUAACUUGGAAACUGCCGUUGAUACUAUAGAUCUUGAAUUAUCUGGAGGUAAGCGGGAUAUGUCAUGUAGCGGUGAAAUGCUUAGAUAUGACAUAGAACACCAAUUGCGAAGGCAGCUUACUACAUAUAAAUUGACGCUGAGGCACGAAAG
rnacentral:rRNA from 1 species